UGUACCAUACCCAACUGUGUCCUGCCUCGCUGGAGCCGCUGGUACCUCCUGACCUUCACACUGGAUCGCACUCUUCUCCUACCUCACGGUAUGGACUACAGCAGGACUGCCCAACCCUGUUCCUGGAGAGCUACCCUCCUGUAGGACAAUGGUGUAUGUGUUGUAGGUAUGGGGGACAUGGCUGUCUCCAACUCCAUUGGCAGUAAUAUCUUCGAUGUGCUUCUGGGACUUGGGUUCCCUUGGUUCCUGCGCACUCUGGUGGUCGACUACAGAUCAGUGGUUGCCUGAUGCAGAGAUUUUGAGUGUUUUUAUGGAUGGCAGGUGUUCAUCAACAGUAAAGGCCUGGUGUAUUCAGUCAUUCUGCUGUUGGGUUCAGUGUUUCUCACUGUCCUGACUGUUCAUCUGAACCGUUGGUGGUUGGACCGCAGACUGGGUCUCUGUCUCAUGAUGCUCUAUGCCAUCUUCCUACUCUGCUCAGUCGGCUUACAGCGACCGUAGGCCAGGUUCACACACAUUUUAGUAUGAUUACGAUGAUACUAUUUGACGUGAUGUUUUCACUUGUUUACCUUAUUGAUCAGUUGUAUGUGUACGGGUAUUUAGGGUUCAUUUGCAUUUCUGAGACAUAGUUAUGAAUAUUGUUAUAUUGAUGGGAAACCUCACAUUUGAUCUUUGAUAAAUGUUGCAAACGGGAUCUUUUACAUAGUUUUAUACAGAGCAACUAGAAAAGUGUGAUAUUCCAAGAUGACUAUUUGAGAACAUGCACUUCACACAAUGGAUUUAUAAUGUAUUGAAUCUAUCUACAGUUUACAGUUACGUAAUGUCAAUGAGGAAUCAUAUUCUUUAGUGUUAAAGGCCCAGUGCAGUCAAAAACGUGAUUUUCCUGUUUUAUAUACAUUUCCAC